UACUCUAAAUUCCCAGCUGUUACCUCUUGAUCAGGAGCAAAGAUCCAACAUUUCCUUUCAGGUACGCAUAUUUUGAUUACCAAUGAUAAUGAUAAUCUGCUGUGGGGCACAGACAGCAACCGGAAACAUGAACUGGCUAAUUACUGUGGAUUAGACGGUUGGAGCUCUCUCUAGCGGAAAAAAUAUCACUGAGGAAACAGAAAACAACUGAGAAAAAGCCAGGCAAAAUAAAUGCUGAUCUACCAAUUUAUAUCCAAGGAUAGGAGUUACGCACAUAAUCUCCUGUAAUUUGAAGAGAACUUUCUGCUUUUCAUUUCAUUCGUUAAAAGAAUAGAGUCGCAUGCAUGUUAUCUUCCGGAUUCUAAAUUAUGAUGAGUUCAUUAUAUUGCUGCUGAGAAGUAGUUGCCAUUUUGUACUGUAAUGAUCCAAUGUUACUUUUUUGGACUUAUCGACCUGUUAAUUAUCUUUUACCUCUUAAUUAUCUGAAAAAAUAAAA